rnacentral:rRNA from 1 species
UCCGGAGGGAGCUAUCGUUGUUCGGAAUUACUGGGCGUAAAGCGCACGUAGGCGGCUUUGUAAGUUAGAGGUGAAAGCCCGGAGCUCAACUCCGGAACUGCCUUUAAGACUGCAUCGCUAGAAUCCGGGAGAGGUGAGUGGAAUUCCGAGUGUAGAGGUGAAAUUCGUAGAUAUUCGGAAGAACACCAGUGGCGAAGGCGGCUCACUGGACCGGUAUUGACGCUGAGGUGCGAAAGCGUGGGGAGAAAACAGG